rnacentral:rRNA from 1 species
UACGGAGGGUGCGAGCGUUGUUCGGAAUUACUGGGCGUAAAGGGCGCGUAGGCGGGUUGUUAAGUCGGGGGUGAAAUCCCGGAGCUCAACUCCGGAACUGCCUUCGAUACUGGCAGCCUAGAGGAAGGCAGAGGGUAGUGGAAUGGCGAGUGUAGAGGUGAAAUUCGUAGAUAUUCGGUGGAACACCGGUGGCGAAGGUGGCUGGCGGGGCCUUUUCUGACGAUGAGGUGCGAAAGCGUGGGGAGCAAACAGG